UACGGAGGAUGCGAGCGUUGUCCGGAUUUACUGGGCGUAAAGGGAGCGUAGGCGGUUUAUUAAGUCUGGUGUAAAAGGCAGUGGCUCAACCAUUGUAUGCAUUGGAAACUGGUAGACUUGAGUGCAGGAGAGGAGAGUGGAAUUCCAUGUGUAGCGGUGAAAUGCGUAGAUAUAUGGAGGAACUCCGAUUGCGAAGGCAGCGUACCGGCAUCCAACUGACGCUGAGGCACGAAAGCGUGGGGAUCAAACAGG
rnacentral:rRNA from 1 species